UUCCACAGCUAUAUCACCCUGCAGCUCAAGGCGGUUACUUAUUGAAGCUAAGCUGGGCUGAGCCUGGUCUGUACCUGGAUGGGUGAUCACUUGGGAAAACUAGGUUGCUGUUAGAA
ensembl:rRNA 5S_rRNA 5S ribosomal RNA